GGGUUGUGAGGUUAAGCGACUAAGCGUACACGGUGGAUGCCCUGGCAGUCAGAGGCGAUGAAGGACGUGCUAAUCUGCGAAAAGCGUCGGUAAGGUGAUAUGAACCGUUAUAACCGGCGAUGUCCGAAUGGGGAAACCCAGUGCAAUUCGUUGCACUAUCGUUAACUGAAUACAUAGGUUAACGAGGCGAACCGGGGGAACUGAAACAUCUAAGUACCCCGAGGAAAAGAAAUCAACCGAGAUUCCCCCAGUAGCGGCGAGCGAACGGGGAGCAGCCCAGAGUCUGAAUCAGCUUGUGUGUUAGUGGAACGGUCUGGAAAGUCCGACGGUACAGGGUGAUAGUCCCGUACACCAAAAUGCACAGGUUGUGAACUCGAAGAGUAGGGCGGGACACGUGGUAUCCUGUCUGAAUAUGGGGGGACCAUCCUCCAAGGCUAAAUACUCCUGACUGACCGAUAGUGAACCAGUACCGUGAGGGAAAGGCGAAAAGAACCCCGGCGAGGGGAGUGAAAAAGAACCUGAAACCGUGUACGUACAAGCAGUGGGAGCACCUUCGGGUGUGACUGCGUACCUUUUGUAUAAUGGGUCAGCGACUUAUAUUCUGUAGCAAGGUUAACCGUAUAGGGGAGCCGCAGGGAAACCGAGUCUUAACUGGGCGUUAAGUUGCAGGGUAUAGACCCGAAACCCGGUGAUCUAGCCAUGGGCAGGUUGAAGGUUGGGUAACACUAACUGGAGGACCGAACCGACUAAUGUUGAAAAAUUAGCGGAUGACUUGUGGCUGGGGGUGAAAGGCCAAUCAAACCGGGAGAUAGCUGGUUCUCCCCGAAAGCUAUUUAGGUAGCGCCUCGUGAACUCAUCUUCGGGGUAGAGCACUGUUUCGGCUAGGGGGUCAUCCCGACUUACCAACCCGAUGCAAACUACGAAUACCGAAGAAUGUUAUCACGGGAGACACACGGCGGGUGCUAACGUCCGUCGUGAAGAGGGAAACAACCCAGACCGCCAGCUAAGGUCCCAAAGUCAUGGUUAAGUGGGAAACGAUGUGGGAAGGCACAGACAGCCAGGAUGUUGGCUUAGAAGCAGCCAUCAUUUAAAGAAAGCGUAAUAGCUCACUGGUCGAGUCGGCCUGCGCGGAAGAUGUAACGGGGCUAAACCAUGCACCGAAGCUGCGGCAGCGACACUAUGUGUUGUUGGGUAGGGGAGCGUUCUGUAAGCCUGCGAAGGUGACCUGUGAGGGUUGCUGGAGGUAUCAGAAGUGCGAAUGCUGACAUAAGUAACGAUAAAGCGGGUGAAAAGCCCGCUCGCCGGAAGACCAAGGGUUCCUGUCCAACGUUAAUCGGGGCAGGGUGAGUCGACCCCUAAGGCGAGGCCGAAAGGCGUAGUCGAUGGGAAACAGGUUAAUAUUCCUGUACUUGGUGUUACUGCGAAGGGGGGACGGAGAAGGCUAUGUUAGCCGGGCGACGGUUGUCCCGGUUUAAGCAUGUAGGCUGGUUGUCCAGGCAAAUCCGGAUAAUCAAGGCUGAGGUGUGAUGACGAGGCACUACGGUGCUGAAGUAACAAAUGCCCUGCUUCCAGGAAAAGCCUCUAAGCAUCAGGUAACAUCAAAUCGUACCCCAAACCGACACAGGUGGUCAGGUAGAGAAUACCAAGGCGCUUGAGAGAACUCGGGUGAAGGAACUAGGCAAAAUGGUGCCGUAACUUCGGGAGAAGGCACGCUGGUGUGUAGGUGAAGUCCCUGCGGAUGGAGCUGAGACCAGUCGAAGAUACCAGCUGGCUGCAACUGUUUAUUAAAAACACAGCACUGUGCAAACACGAAAGUGGACGUAUACGGUGUGACGCCUGCCCGGUGCCGGAAGGUUAAUUGAUGGGGUUAUCCGUAAGGAGAAGCUCUUGAUCGAAGCCCCGGUAAACGGCGGCCGUAACUAUAACGGUCCUAAGGUAGCGAAAUUCCUUGUCGGGUAAGUUCCGACCUGCACGAAUGGCGUAAUGAUGGCCAGGCUGUCUCCACCCGAGACUCAGUGAAAUUGAACUCGCUGUGAAGAUGCAGUGUACCCGCGGCAAGACGGAAAGACCCCGUGAACCUUUACUAUAGCUUGACACUGAACAUUGAGCCUUGAUGUGUAGGAUAGGUGGGAGGCUUUGAAGCGUGGACGCCAGUCUGCGUGGAGCCAACCUUGAAAUACCACCCUUUAAUGUUUGAUGUUCUAACGUUGGCCCCUGACCGGGGUUGCGGACAGUGUCUGGUGGGUAGUUUGACUGGGGCGGUCUCCUCCCAAAGCGUAACGGAGGAGCACGAAGGUUAGCUAAUCCUGGUCGGACAUCAGGAGGUUAGUGCAAUGGCAUAAGCUAGCUUGACUGCGAGCGUGACGGCGCGAGCAGGUGCGAAAGCAGGUCAUAGUGAUCCGGUGGUUCUGAAUGGAAGGGCCAUCGCUCAACGGAUAAAAGGUACUCCGGGGAUAACAGGCUGAUACCGCCCAAGAGUUCAUAUCGACGGCGGUGUUUGGCACCUCGAUGUCGGCUCAUCACAUCCUGGGGCUGAAGUAGGUCCCAAGGGUAUGGCUGUUCGCCAUUUAAAGUGGUACGCGAGCUGGGUUUAGAACGUCGUGAGACAGUUCGGUCCCUAUCUGCCGUGGGCGCUGGAGAAUUGAGGGGGGCUGCUCCUAGUACGAGAGGACCGGAGUGGACGCAUCACUGGUGUUCGGGUUGUCAUGCCAAUGGCACUGCCCGGUAGCUAAAUGCGGAAGAGAUAAGUGCUGAAAGCAUCUAAGCACGAAACUUGCCCCGAGAUGAGUUCUCCCUGAGACUUUAAGUCUCCUGAAGGAACGUUAAAGACGAUGACGUUGAUAGGCCGGGUGUGUAAGCGCAGCGAUGCGUUGAGCUAACCGGUACUAAUGAACCGUGAGGCUUAACCUUACAACGCCGAAG
rnacentral:rRNA from 1 species